GACGAACGCUGGCGGCGUGCCUAAUACAUGCAAGUCGAGCGGACUGAAUGGGAGCUUGCUCUUGUUCGGUCAGCGGCGGACGGGUGAGUAACACGUGGGCAACCUGCCCGCAAGACCGGGAUAACUCCGGGAAACCGGAGCUAAUACCGGAUAACACCGAAGACCGCAUGGUCUUUGGUUGAAAGGCGGCGCAAGCUGCCACUUGCGGAUGGGCCCGCGGCGCAUUAGCUAGUUGGUGAGGUAACGGCUCACCAAGGCGACGAUGCGUAGCCGGCCUGAGAGGGUGACCGGCCACACUGGGACUGAGACACGGCCCAGACUCCUACGGGAGGCAGCAGUAGGGAAUCUUCCGCAAUAGGCGAAAGCCUGACGGAGCGACGCCGCGUGAGCGAAGAAGGCCGUCGGGUCGUAAAGCUCUGUUGUGAGGGACGAAGGAGCGCCGUUUGAAGAAGGCGGCGCGGUGACGGUACCUCACGAGGAAGCCCCGGCUAACUACGUG
rnacentral:rRNA from 1 species